GACGAACGCUGGCGGCGUGCUUAACACAUGCAAGCCGAACGGAAAGGCCCUGCUUUUGUGGGGUGCUCGAGUGGCGAACGGGUGAGUAACACGUGAGUAACCUGCCCUUGACUUUGGGAUAACUUCAGGAAACUGGGGCUACUACCGGAUAGGAGCUCCUGCUGCAUGGUGGGGGUUGGAAAGUUUCGGCGGUUGGGGAUGGACUCGCGGCUUAUCAGCUUGUUGGUGGGGUAGUGGCUUACCAAGGCUUUGACGGGUAGCCGGCCUGAGAGGGUGACCGGCCACAUUGGGACUGAGAUACGGCCCAGACGCCUACGGGAGGCAGCAGUGGGGAAUAUUGCACAAUGGGCGGAAGCCUGAUGCAGCAACGCCGCGUGCGGGAUGACGGCCUUCGGGUUGUAAACCGCUUUCGCCUGUGACGAAGCGUGAGUGACGGUAAUGGGUAAAGAAGCACCGGCUAACUACGUG
rnacentral:rRNA from 1 species